AUACUGUGGUAUCUGUCCGAGUUGUUGGAAGGCAGCGUUCCUCCACAGAUGCCAGGCCGUCUUCCUCCAGGUGUUGUUGGAGUCGGUGAUGCUGCUCCACAGGCCGGACUCCAUGUAGGAUGAAUACUGUGCAGCAGGGAUCUUAUCAGCUCUAAACACACAAAAGCGCUUCAAUGAAACUCAUUCGAGCAUCGACUUUCACAGGAAGCUGCAAAUAAAUGACAGUUCAUGCAUGUCAUGCAACAAAAACAACCUCACACAUGAGAAUGCACAGAAGAAUAUCAGGAGAGAUGG